rnacentral:lncRNA from 1 species
UCCAGUUUACACAUACAAUUUACAGAGAUAAAUCUACUUGAUUUGAAUUUACAUUUCUAGAAGUAGAAUUAAAAUUUACUUUAAACAGAUUGUGUGACACACCAUAUACAUUGGACAUUGCCUUAACUUUAAAUGUACAGAAAUGUUUCAAAUUAUUAAAUGAAUGAAGUAAUGUGGAGGUAUAUGUAUGUAUUGAAAAAAAACCAGGAAAAUUUAAUAAUGCCAAGACAGAAAAUAAAAGCUGCUGUGAAUUUAAGGACAUUGCCAGAAAACAAAGAUUUUCAAAUCAACAAGGAAAGGAAAAAAAAUGAAAAACAGUGUCAACCAAUAUACACCUGUCCAGUUUUAUCUGACUCAACUGGGAAAAUUAUGAUAAAAUUCCAUGCAAAACCUGGCGCUAAAGAAAAUAUGAUUACAAGUA